rnacentral:rRNA from 1 species
CCAUGNGUAGCGGUGAAAUGCGUAGAUAUAUGGAGGAACACCAGUGGCGAAAGCGGCUCUCUGNUCUGUCACUGACGCUGAGGCUCGAAAGCGUGGGUAGCGANCAGGAUUAGAUACCCCGGUAGUNCACGCCGUAAACGAUGAGUGCUAGGUGUUAGGCCCUUUCCGGGGCUUAGUGCCGGAGCUAACGCAAUAAGCACUCCGCCUGGGGAGUACGACCGCAAGGUUGAAACUCAAAGGAAUUGACGGGGGCCCGCACAAGCGGUGGAGCAUGUGGUUUAAUUCGAAGCAACGCGAAGANCCUUACCAGGUCUUGACAUCCCGAUGCUAUUCUUAGAGAUAGGAAGUUACUUCGGUACAUCGGAGACAGGUGGUGCAUGGUUGUCGUCAGCUCGUGUCGUGAGAUGUUGGGUUAAGUCCCGCAACGAGCGCAACCCUUAUUGUUAGUUGCCAUCAUUAAGUUGGGCACUCUAGCGAGACUGCCGGUAAUAAACCGGAGGAAGGUGGGGAUGACGUCAAAUCAUCAUGCCCCUUAUGACCUGGGCUACACACGUGCUACAAUGGUCGGUACAACGAGUUGCGAGCCGGUGACGGCAAGCUAAUCUCUGAAAGCCGAUCUCAGUUCGGAUUGGAGGCUGCAACUCGCCUCCAUGAAGUCGGAAUCGCUAGUAAUCGCGGAUCAGCACGCCGCGG